UACAGAGGUCUCAAGCGUUGUUCGGAUUUAUUGGGCGUAAAGCGUGCGUAGGCGGCGGGGUAAGUGAGGUGUGAAAUCCCGGAGCUUAACUCCGGAACUGCACUUUAUACUGCCUUGCUCGAGGGCUGGAGAGGAGACUGGAAUUUACGGUGUAGCAGUGAAAUGCGUAGAGAUCGUAAGGAAGACCAGUGGCGAAGGCGAGUCUCUGGAAAGCUGCUGACGCUGAGGCACGAAGGCCAGGGGAGCAAACGGG
rnacentral:rRNA from 3 species